rnacentral:rRNA from 1 species
GACGAACGCUGGCGGCGCGCUUAACACAUGCAAGUCGAGCGAGAACCAGGCCCUUCGGGCCGUGGGGACGAGCGGCGAACGGGUGAGUAACACGUGAGUAAUCCACCCUCGGUACCGGAAUAGCCCGGGGAAACCCGGAUUAAUGCCGGAUGGCCCAUUUACCCUUCGGGGUUUAAUGGAAAAGAUAGCUUCGGCCUUCGACCGAGGACGAGCUCGCGGCGGAUUAGCUUGUUGGCGGGGUAACGGCCCACCAAGGCGACGAUCCGUAGCUGGUCUGAGAGGACGAUCAGCCACACUGGGACUGAGACACGGCCCAGACUCCUACGGGAGGGCAGCAGUGGGGAAUCUUGCGCAAUGGGCGAAAGCCUGACGCAGCGACGCCGCGUGAGGGAAG